UAGAAAAUACACUCUACCCUGAAUGCUCCCAAUCUCCUCUGAUCUUGGAAGCUAAGCAGUGUCGGGCCUGGUUAGUACUUGGAUAGGAGAAAACACGAUCAAUUUUUGU
rnacentral:rRNA from 1 species